rnacentral:rRNA from 1 species
ACACUCCUGCGGGAGGCAGCAGUGGGGAAUUUUGGACAAUGGGCGAAAGCCUGAUCCAGCAAUGCCGCGUGAGUGAAGAAGGCCUUCGGGUUGUAAAGCUCUUUUGUCAGGGAAGAAACGGUGAGAGCUAAUAUCUCUUGCUAAUGACGGUACCUGAAGAAUAAGCACCGGCUAACUACGUGCCAGCAGCCGCGGUAAUACGUAGGGUGCAAGCGUUAAUCGGAAUUACUGGGCGUAAAGCGUGCGCAGGCGGUUUUGUAAGUCUGAUGUGAAAUCCCCGGGCUCAACCUGGGAAUUGCAUUGGAGACUGCAAGGCUAGAAUCUGGCAGAGGGGGGUAGAAUUCCACGUGUAGCAGUGAAAUGCGUAGAUAUGUGGAGGAACACCGAUGGCGAAGGCAGCCCCCUGGGUCAAGAUUGACGCUCAUGCACGAAAGCGUGGGGAGCAAACAGGAUUAGAUACCCAGUAGUCCC